rnacentral:lncRNA from 1 species
UUGCACAUUCACUCAGACAUACUGCUUCUACUCCGGAAGUACACACCACAUACAUCCACUCACUUGUCAUGUGGUUAAAUCAAGAUUCACUUGCACAUUCACUCAGACAUACUGCUUCUACUCCGGAAGUACUCUAAAAAAGAGAGAAGAUACGAGGAAAUAAAAAGGGGGCAAGUGCCCGGAACCUCGAAAGAAAAGAAAAAGUGAGACGAGAGGUAAAAAUGGACAUGUGUCCGACAAUAGAAUUAGGGGUACAAGAUACCCACCUGAGAGAAAAGAAAAAGAAAAUAUAGAGCAUCUCAUUCUCCUCAAAAAGUUUCAAAAGAGCAAGAAAUGUAUGUAUCCCUCAAAAGAGCACAAGUAGAAUUAGACUUUCACCAUUGUUAUCACCAUCAUCACCACACACCAUUCAUUCGCCACACAUGCACAUCUUGAUUUGACUUAUUGACUUGUUCUUGUGGAUCCAUGG